rnacentral:rRNA from 1 species
GAUGAACGCUGACAGAAUGCUUAACACAUGCAAGUCAUUGGCGAAGCUGCGCUUGCGCAGUCUAGCCAAGGCGGAUGGGUGAGUAACGCGUAAGGAACUUGCCCUGCAGACAGGGAUAACAGACGGAAACGACUGAUAACACCUGGUAUUGUCAGGCUGGCGCAUGCCGGCCUGAUGAAAGGAGACGCUGCAGGAGAGCCUUGCGUCCUAUUAGCUAGUUGGUGGGGUAACGGCCCACCAAGGCGAUGAUAGGUAGCCGGCCUGAGAGGGUGAACGGCCACAAGGGGACUGAGAUACGGCACUUACUACUACGGGAGGCAGCAGUGGGGAAUAUUGGACAAUGGGGGCAACCCUGAUCCAGCAAUUCUGUGUGCACGAAGAAGGUUUUCGGAUUGUAAAGUGCUUUCAGAAGGGAAGAAGAAAGUGACGGUACCUGCAGAAGAAGCGACGGCUAAAUACGUG